UACAGAGGGUGCAAGCGUUGUUCGGAAUUAUUGGGCGUAAAGCGCGUGUAGGCGGCUUUGCAAGUCGGGGGUGAAAUCCCUCGGCUUAACCGAGGACGUGCGGAAGAAACUGCAAGGCUCGAGUCCGGAAGAGGGGGGCGGAAUUCCCAGUGUAGCGGUGAAAUGCGUAGAUAUUGGGAGGAAUACCGGUGGCGAAGGCGGCAUCCUGGACCGACAUUGACGCUGAGGAGCGAAAGCUAGGGGAGCAAACGGG
rnacentral:rRNA from 1 species